rnacentral:tRNA from 1 species
GUCCUCGUAGCUCAGCUGGAUAGAGCACCAGAUUCCUAAUCUGGGGGUCACAGGUUCGAAUCCUGUCGGGGACACCA